rnacentral:lncRNA from 1 species
CCCCUUCUCCCGCUUGGAGGGCUGUCAUCGUGACUCUCCGAGAGUCAGGGCUUUCCCCCGAUGUAGGGGCAGGACCAUGCAUCAGUCACUGCCCACAAAAGUGCCCCAAUCACACCUGAUUUCCCCCAGCUGGACCUUUCACGAGUUGUUGCUAAUUAAGGGCUCACCUGAAUUAAUUAAGAGCCCACUUUGGUACCUCCCACCCCACACAGCUCUGUUGGCUCUGCAGGGCAGUGUGGCCCUUGCUCCCCCUCACAAGGGGAUGUGAUGGGAGUGGGCUAGGCUGGCUUCUGUGGGGUUAAGGGGUGCAGAAGCUUAGGGAUGAAUUUAGGGGGGUGCAAGGGCUAAGGACGUGUCCCCACAUUUGUUUGCUUGAAAGGACCUGGUCACCGAGACACCCAGCUGCCUGCCCGGGGAGCAGAGGCACCUGGGGACGCUCAUGUCACCACAGAGCAGCAGCCCUCGGCCAGCAGGCAGACUGAAGCCAGACAAGAAAGGGCAGAUGCGUCUCCCCCUCGACAAGUUGCUGCAGCACCCACACUUGUUGGAAGCUCAGUGUCCUCCACGGGAGAAGCGUUGCCAGCCCUUUCCUCCUCUGAUUCUCACACGGGGAACCCUGCACUGGGAAAUGGCAUCAUCUGCACAGACACACCAUGGCCAGCCAAGCAACAUCAGUGCCGUGUACCCAGGGGAGAAGAAGUCCUUGAUUCAGCAGACAUGACCAGGCCUGGCCAGAAAAUGGAUGUUGUUUCUGAACGGCAGAGAGGGGACAAGGACAAACAGCUGAGCUGUUGGGUAGCAGUAUUGGGUCAGGCACCGCUCAAAGUGCAGCCCACACUGGCAGAGCGUGCAGUCUGCUUGGGUUUUCUACAAAAAUGCCUUUUGACAGAGGUGUCCCUGCUCUGAGGGGCCCAAGUGGGGCUCACCGAGGGUAUUUGCCAUGCUUUAGACCCCAGGGCAGUGUCACCCCAUCCCAGCCGAGCAAGCAGAAGCUGGGGAGCUUCCCUGUUGCCAAGCCGGAUCGCUAGUGAGGAAAACAUGUCCAACCUGCUGGGUAUUCCCUCGCGCCUCCUUUCCAAGCAUUAAAAGUGCUAAUUAAACCAGAGCUGUGCUCCGGCAUCUGGAGGGAUAGGCCGCCUUUCCCAGCAGACAGACUGUAGGC